UACGGAGGAGGCAAGCGUUAUCCGGAAUUAUUGGGCGUAAAGCGUCCGCAGGUGGCUAUUCAAGUCUGCGGUCAAAGCCUGGGGCUUAACCCUGGAAAGGCCGUGGAAACUGAAGAGCUAGAGUGCAGUAGGGGUAGAGGGAAUUCCCGGUGUAGCGGUGAAAUGCGUAGAUAUCGAGAGGAACACCUGCGGCGAAGGCGGGUAGCUGGGCCGACACUGACGCUGAGGCGCGAAAGCCAGGGGAGCGAACGGG
rnacentral:rRNA from 1 species